AACCUAGCACACCUGCGGUGUGUACCUGCGGAGGGAUCAUUACCGAGUUUACAACCCCCAAACCCCUGUGAACAUACCACUUGUUGCCUCGGCGGAUCAGCCCGCUCCCGGUAAAACGGGACGGCCCGCCAGAGGACCCCUAAACUCUGUUUCUAUAUGUAACUUCUGAGUAAAACCAUAAAUAAAUCAAAACUUUCAACAACGGAUCU
rnacentral:misc_RNA from 1 species